GGCUCUGUGGCGCAAUGGAUAGCGCGUUGGACUCCUAAUUCAGAGGUUGUGGUUUCGACUCCCACCAGAGUCG